rnacentral:rRNA from 1 species
GAUCAAGUGAAUAAGCGCAUACGGUGGAUGCCUUGGCGACAACAGGCGAUGAAGGACGUAGUAGCUUGCGAUAAGCCCCGGCGAGCCAGCAAACAGGCUUUGACCCGAGGAUUUCCGAAUGGGGGAACCCGGCCAGCAAUGGUCACUAAUAUCUGAAUACAUAGGGUAUUAGAGCGAACCUGGAGAACUGAAACAUCUAAGUAACCAGAGGAAAAGAAAUCAACCGAGAUUCCCAAAGUAGCGGCGAGCGAAAUGGGAACAGCCCUUAAGCUUAUAUAGUCUUAGUAGAAGUGUCUGGAAAGUCACACCACAGAGAGUGAUAGUCUCGUAUACGAAAAGGCAAUUUAAGUGAAAUCGAGUAGGGCGGAGCACGAGAAACUCUGUCUGAACAUGGGGGGACCAUCCUCCAAGGCUAAAUACUCGUUGUCGACCGAUAGUGAACCAGUACCGUGAGGGAAAGGCGAAAAGAACCCCUGAUAGGGGAGUGAAAUAGAACCUGAAACCGUAUGCGUACAAGCAGUGGGAGCACCUUUAUGGUGUGACUGCGUACCUUUUGUAUAAUGGGUCAGCGACUUAUAUCUCAGUAGCAAGCUUAACCGAAUAGGGGAGGCGUAGGGAAACCGAGUCUUAAUAGGGCGUCAAGUUGCUGGGAAUAGACCCGAAACCGAGCGAUCUAGCCAUGGGCAGGUUGAAGGUCAGGUAACACUGACUGGAGGACCGAACCCACUUAUGUUGAAAAAUGAGGGGAUGACCUGUGGCUAGGAGUGAAAGGCUAAUCAAGCUCGGAGAUAGCUGGUUCUCCUCGAAAGCUAUUGAGGUAGCGCCUCGUGUCUCACUCCUGGGGGUAGAGCACUGUUUGGGCUAGGGGGUCAUCUCGACUUACCAACCCCAUGCAAACUCCGAAUACCAGGAAGUGCAAUCACGGGAGACACACGGCGGGUGCUAACGUCCGUCGUGGAGAGGGAAACAACCCAGACCGCCAGCUAAGGUCCCAAAAUUACAGCUCAGUGGGAAACGAUGUGGAAAGGCCCAGACAGCCAGGAGGUUGGCUUAGAAGCAGCCACCCUUUAAAGAAAGCGUAAUAGCUCACUGGUCGAGUCGGUCUGCGCGGAAGAUAUAACGGGGCUAAGCUGUAUACCGAAGCUGCGGAUGCCGCAAGGCAUGGUAGAGGAGCGUUCUGUACGCCUGCGAAGGUGAGUUGAAAAGCUUGCUGGAGGUAUCAGAAGUGCGAAUGCUGACAUGAGUAACGACAAUGUGGGUGAAAAACCCACACGCCGAAAACCCAAGGUUUCCUGCGCAACGUUAAUCGGCGCAGGGUGAGUCGACCCCUAAGGCGAGGCAGAAAUGCGUAGUCGAUGGGAAACUGGUUAAUAUUCCAGUACCACUUAAUACUGCGAUGAGGGGACGGAGAAGGCUAAAUCAUCCAACUGUUGGAAUAGUUGGUUCAAGGUAGUAGGCAGAUAACUUAGGCAAAUCCGGGUUAUCAAUGCUGAGAGCUGAUGACGAGCACCUUUAUGGAGCGAAGUGAUUGAUGCCAUGCUUCCAGGAAAAGCCUCUAAGCAUAGGUAUUAAGUGAUCGUACCCCAAACCGACACAGGUGGGUAGGGAGAGAAUCCUAAGGCGCUUGAGAGAACUCUGGUGAAGGAACUAGGCAAAAUAGCACCGUAACUUCGGGAGAAGGUGUGCCCCGAUUAUGUGAAGCAAUUUACUUGUGGAGCAGAAAGGGGUUGCAGUGACUAGGUGGCUGCGACUGUUUACUAAAAACACAGCACUCUGCUAAAUCGAAAGAUGACGUAUAGGGUGUGACGCCUGCCCGGUGCCGGAAGGUUAAUUGAUGAUGUUAUCUUCGGAGAAGCAUUUGAUCGAAGCCCCGGUAAACGGCGGCCGUAACUAUAACGGUCCUAAGGUAGCGAAAUUCCUUGUCGGGUAAGUUCCGACCUGCACGAAUGGCGUAACGAUGGCCACACUGUCUCCACCAGAGACUCAGUGAAAUUGAAAUCGCUGUUAAGAUGCAGUGUACCCGCGGCUAGACGGAAAGACCCCGUGAACCUUUACUACAGCUUUGCACUGGACUUUGAGCCUGUUUGUGUAGGAUAGGUGGGAGGCUAUGAAACCAUGACGCUAGUUAUGGUGGAGCUGACCUUGAAAUACCACCCUGACAUGUUUGAGGUUCUAACCUGGUCCCCUAAUCGGGGAUAGGGACAGUGUAUGGUGGGUAGUUUGACUGGGGCGGUCUCCUCCCAAAGAGUAACGGAGGAGCACGAAGGUAUCCUAAGGACGGUCGGAAAUCGUUCGGUUAGUGUAAUGGCACAAGGAUGCUUAACUGUGAGACAGACAAGUCGAGCAGAUACGAAAGUAGGUCAUAGUGAUCCGGUGGUUCUGAAUGGAAGGGCCAUCGCUCAACGGAUAAAAGGUACUCCGGGGAUAACAGGCUGAUUCCUCCCAAGAGUUCACAUCGACGGGGGAGUUUGGCACCUCGAUGUCGGCUCAUCACAUCCUGGGGCUGAAGUAGGUCCCAAGGGUAUGGCUGUUCGCCAUUUAAAGUGGUACGCGAGCUGGGUUUAGAACGUCGUGAGACAGUUCGGUCCCUAUCUGCCGUGGGCGUUGGAAAUUUGAAGGGAGCUGCUCCUAGUACGAGAGGACCGGAGUGGACGUACCUCUGGUGUACCGGUUGUCACGCCAGUGGCAUUGCCGGGUAGCUAUGUACGGAACUGAUAACCGCUGAAAGCAUCUAAGCGGGAAGCAGGCCCUAAGAUAAGAUUUCCCAGACCUUUAAGGUCUCGUAAGGUUCGUUGAAGACUACGACGUAGAUAGGCAGGGUGUGGAAGCGCAGUAAUGCGUGUAGCUAACCUGUACUAAUUAACCGAGAGGCUUGAUCAU